GCGCCCGUAGCUCAACUGGAUAGAGCGUCUGCCUUCGAAGCAGCAGGUUAGAGGUUCAAGUCCUCUCGGGCGCA
rfam:Candidate division WOR-1 bacterium RIFOXYC2_FTLL_41_25 rifoxyc2_full_scaffold_175, whole genome shotgun sequence.